rnacentral:tRNA from 1 species
GGGAGUUUAGCUCAGCUGGGAGAGCAUCUGCCUUACAAGCAGAGGGUCAGCGGUUCGAUCCCGUUAACUUAUUCCGCCA